AGCAGCCGCGGUAAUUCCAGCUCCAAUAGCGUAUAUUAAAGUUGUUGCAGUUAAAAGCUCGUAGUUGAAUUUCGGGGUUAGUAGGUUGGUCAUGCCUCUGGUAUGUACUGGUCUCACUGAUUCCUCCUUCCUGAUGAGCCGUAAUGCCAUUAAUUUGGUGUUGCGGGGAAUUUGGACUGUUACUUUGAAAAAUUGAGUGUUUAAAGCAAGCUAACGCUUGAAUACAUUAGCAUGGAAUAAUGAAAUAGGACGUUCGAUCCUAUUUUGUUGGUUUCUAGGAUUGACGUAAUGAUUAAUAGGGAUAGUUGGGGGCAUUAGUAUUCAAUUGUCAGAGGUGAAAUUCUUGGAUUUAUUGAAGACUAACUACUGCGAAAGCAUUUGCCAAGGAUGUUUUCAUUAAUCAAGAACGAAAGUUAGGGAUCGAAGACGAUCAGAUACCGUCGUAGUCUUAACCAUAAACUAUGCCGACUAGGGAUCGGAUGAUGUUAAUUUUUAAUGACUCAUUCGGCGCCUUAAC
rnacentral:misc_RNA from 1 species